rnacentral:lncRNA from 1 species
GCCGCGGCGAGCUUCACUCAUCACCGAACGCCGGACGAGAAUCGAGAGGCGUUGCAACGCUCCGAGACAUAUUUGGCGAAAGAACGUCAAACAAAUCGCAGAAUCUGUCAGUCCCGUGUAUCGGCGCUGUCGCCGAUCGUAUCAAACGGAAAUACACGCGUAUCUAGGACAAACGGAGAGUUAUUUCACUCUCGGCAGUCGCAACGUUCCGAAGAAAACUUCGGGCUGAUCAACCGCGUUUCGUACGUCGUAGAGGAUUGUCGAAGGUGCGAGAACAAUCGCCGGUAAUUAUCUUCUGUGAUUCGGGGAUGGGGAGAGAGAAUGUCAACGAUAACGCAAAGAUGGCCGACUGCAGCUGCGGCGUACUUCACUCACAACAAGACGCCAAACCGAAGAGAACGCGAUACGACGCAAUAACGUCAACGAGGGGACACGUUCAGCGAUUGAUUGUGGUACCAUUUCCAAGAUUUCGAGUUUCCAAACACCACAGAAACGAGGCGCUGGAUGCUGAACUGCGACGUGUCGAUCUCAACGUGGGAAAUUUC